AAAAGCUCCGGCAGUAUAGGAUGGUCCCGCGUCUGAUUAGCUGGUUGGCGGGGUAACGGCCCACCAAGGCGACGAUCAGUAGCCGGCUUGAGAGAGUGGACGGCCACAUUGGGACUGAGACACGGCCCAAACUCCUACGGGAGGCAGCAGUGGGGAAUAUUGCACAAUGGGGGAAACCCUGAUGCAGCGACGCCGCGUGAGUGAAGAAGUAUUUCGGUAUGUAAAGCUCUAUCAGCAGGGAAGAAAAAAGACGGUACCUGACUAAGAAGCCCCGGCUAACUACGUGCCAGCAGCCGCGGUAAUACGUAGGGGGCAAGCGUUAUCCGGAAUUACUGGGUGUAAAGGGUGCGUAGGUGGCAUGGUAAGUCAGAAGUGAAAGCCCGGGGCUUAACCCCGGGACUGCUUUUGAAACUGUCAUGCUGGAGUGCAGGAGAGGUAAGCGGAAUUCCUAGUGUAGCGGUGAAAUGCGUAGAUAUUAGGAGGAACACCAGUGGCGAAGGCGGCUUACUGGACUGUCACUGACACUGAUGCACGAAAGCGUGGGGAGCAAACAG
rnacentral:rRNA from 1 species